UACGAAGGGUGCAAGCGUUGUUCGGAAUUAUUGGGCGUAAAGGGUUCGUAGGCGGGAAUGCAAGUCAAGCGUGAAAUCCCCGAGCUUAACUUGGGAAGUGCGCUUGAGACUGGAUUUCUUGAGUAUCGGAGAGGGUGGUGGAAUUGCUGGUGUAGGAGUGACAUCCGUAGAGAUCAGCAGGAACACCGGAGGCGUAGGCGACCACCUGGCCGAGUACUGACGCUGAGGAACGAAAGCGUGGGGAGCAAACAGG
rnacentral:rRNA from 1 species